rnacentral:rRNA from 1 species
AGUUUGAUCCUGGCUCAGGAUGAACGCUAGCUACAGGCUUAACACAUGCAAGUCGAGGGGCAGCGAUGAAGAAAGCUUGCUUUCUUCAGGCGGCGACCGGCGCACGGGUGAGUAACGCGUAUCGAACCUGCCUCAUACUCGGGAAUAGCCUUGCGAAAGUAAGAUUAAUGCCCGAUGUUAUUAGAGCAUCACAUGAUGUUUUAAUUAAAGAUUUAUCGGUAUGAGAUGGCGAUGCGUCCCAUUAGCUUGUUGGCGGGGUAACGGCCCACCAAGGCAUCGAUGGGUAGGGGUUCUGAGAGGAAGGUCCCCCACAUUGGAACUGAGACACGGUCCAAACUCCUACGGGAGGCAGCAGUGAGGAAUAUUGGUCAAUGGACGCAAGUCUGAACCAGCCAAGUAGCGUGCAGGAUGACGGCCCUCUGGGUUGUAAACUGCUUUUAGUUGGGAAUAAAGUGCACCACGUGUGGUGUUUUGUAUGUACCAUCAGAAAAAGGACCGGCUAAUUCCGUGCCAGCAGCCGCGGUAAUACGGAAGGUCCAGGCGUUAUCCGGAUUUAUUGGGUUUAAAGGGAGCGCAGGCGGACCUUUAAGUCAGCUGUGAAAUACGGCGGCUCAACCGUCGAACUGCAGUUGAUACUGGAGGUCUUGAGUGCACACAGGGAUACUGGAAUUCAUGGUGUAGCGGUGAAAUGCUCAGAUAUCAUGAAGAACUCCGAUCGCGAAGGCAGGUAUCCGGGGUGCAACUGACGCUGAGGCUCGAAAGUGCGGGUAUCAAACAGGAUUAGAUACCCUGGUAGUCCGCACAGUAAACGAUGAAUACUCGCGAUUUGCGAUACACAGUAAGUCGCCAAGCGAAAGCGUUUAGUAUUCCACCUGGGGAGUACGCCGGCAACGGUGAAACUCAAAGGAAUUGACGG